rnacentral:rRNA from 1 species
AGCGGCGGACGGGUGAGUAAUACAUGGGUAAUCUUUGCUUGAGCUCGGGAUAACCCCGCGAAAGUGGGGCUAAUACCGGAUAAGACCACCUCAGGAAAAGGUGCACUUGGGAAUGAGCCCAUGUCCUAUCAGCUUGUUGGUGAGGUAAGAGCUCACCAAGGCUAUGACGGGUAGCUGGUCUAAGAGGACGGCCAGCCACACUGGGACUGAGACACGGCCCAGACUCCUACGGGAGGCAGCAGUGGGGAAUAUUGGGCAAUGGGCGAAAGCCUGACCCAGCGACGCCAUGUGGGUGAUGAAGGCCUUCGGGUUGUAAAGCCCUGUUAGGUGGGAAGAAUGACGGUACCACCGGAGAAAGCACCGGCUAACUCCGUGCCAGCAGACGCGGUAAUACGGAGGGUGCAAGCGUUGUUCGGAAUUACUGGGCGUAAAGGGCGCGUAGGCGGUAAUGUAAGUCAGACGUGAAAUCCUUCG